rnacentral:lncRNA from 1 species
AUGGUUCACUAUUCGAUUGACACAGAAAACCCCACAAAGUCAUGCAAAUCAAGAGAUUCAAAUCGUAUUCAUUUAAGAACACUCGUGAAACUGCCCAGGCCAUCAAGGAUAUGCAUGUAUGAAAAGCCACUAAGUGACCUGAAAGAUGUCACUUUACAGAAACAGCAUGUACCAUUCCAACAUUACAAUGGUGGAGUUGGUAGGUGUGCCCAGGCCAAACAGUGGAGCUGGACAUAGGAUCGGUGGCUUGAAUUUUUGCUGCACAUGCUUAAAUAUGCACAGAGUCAUGCUGAACUUAAGGCUUUACAAGCAGAUGGUCAUCGAGCAUAUUCCGGUGAAUGAAGCACCCAAGAUAUGCCUUUAGCUAAUGGUCAGAUUAACUCAUACAUAAAGAAGCCCUCCUUGCUGCAUUGAAAUCAUCCUUACUGAAUAGAAACAAAUUGUUCUUAAACCAGAAGAGGAAGUUGCACAGAAGAAAAAGAUAUCUCCGAAGAAAAUGAAGGAACAAAAACUUAUGGCAUGGGAA